GCCUGGGUGCACUCUGCUCAUUCAGGCUGAUCUGCUGGGAAAGGCUGAGCACGGUGCUGGUGCUGCCCUUAGAAGUGCACAUUUGCACUCAGAGCCCUGCAUGCUGUCUAGGGUGAGCAGGAAACACUGAUAGCUCCAAGAAAUGGUUAAGUGCAAAGGGCUUUUCUAACUCCAGCUCUUGCUGGAAACUUCUGCAUCUCAGGUCGAGCCCUCAGCUACGCUGCAGGCAUGGCAGCUUCAGCACAGACCUACAACAGCAACGCCCUUGGAAGUUCAAAGCACAGCUCAGCCAGACCUGGGAUCCCACCCACAGGACACGCAUGGAGCUGCAAAGAUUAACAUGGUAAAACUUGACACGCUCCAGCAGCGAAGCACUUCCAAAACCCUGGUACACCAGGAGCAGAGACCACAGGCAAGAAGCAAGCAGAGAAGCAAAGCAGAGGUCUCUUUGGGCAUGAAGGAGAAGCACAUUGUAUACUCACAGCCACGUCUGGACCAGACUUGCCCUUUCGUGCUGCCAUAGUCCAGCACUUCAGCUGAAACCUGAGCCCGGUGUCCCCUCUUCCCCUCCUUGGUUAUCUACUCCCCAGCUUUAAGAGAGCCAACAGGAUAUUUAAUAGCAAGAUGCCUGUGGAAAGCAGAUGCUUGCUGCCAAGCACAGAGAACAGUCAGAGCUGCAGGGACUACCUCGAGAAGAGCAGAGAGGAGCAGCCCCACAGACAUGCUGAGGAGCAUCUUGCAGGCCGUGUUGUCAUGCUGGUUGCCUCCCCAUCCUCUUGUGUGUGUGAGAGAGAGAGAAAACAGGAAGAUACUUGUCCCAAAAUCAGUCUAAAAACCUGCACCUAGAAGCAUGAGGCAGAUUAAAACUUGCAAGAAAACCACUGGACUGCAUUUGCAAAGCUGAGCAGCAGGUCGCGAUAGAUUCUUUCUGCCAAGAGCAAACUACAGGAUCGUGUGAUAUUUCUGAGCCACCUUCCUUUGUCUUCUGUGUGCAACGUUGCAUUUAUUUGCAGCACAACGUGUAAAAACACACCACUGCUUCAGGGAGGAAGUCUGCAGACCACAACAGCCAACAUGCAAUGCCUCUUUCCAAUGCAGACUUGAUCUCCCUGCUGUAUAAAGGAAGUGCUUCACUACUGCAGUUGCGGACUGGUUGCUGGCUGGUCUGAGAUGCAUUUCUCCCUGUUGACCCUAUUGAUGGGGAUGAGUUCAACAAGUCAUGUGGAGGAGCUGUGCUGAUGCAGUACUGAUGGGGAGCAGAUAUUUUAUACUUUUGUCUUGUGAUGCUGUAGCUCCUUUUACUGCAAUCUUAGCACUGCAGCAGGCUUGACGGGCGGCAUUUUUCCUGCUAUGUGCAGAUAGGGAUCAGCCUGCUGGCCAUCACGUUGUUUUUUUAACAGGAACAUGUUAUUGUGCAUCAAUACAUGGCCAACCUGUGUGUGAAGAGGGCUGCCAUGCCAUGCUUCACUGAGCAAUUUCUGCUUGGACCAAAUCUAGCGAGCUGAGCUAAUCCUGCCAGGAACAGAGCUGAAGAAGGGAAAAGAUGAGAAAAUCAUAACCUGCAGGACAAAUAUAGACCCUAUGAAGGCAUCUCUUGCCCAAGAGCUGAAAUAUUGUCACGAGAAAGACAGUGGCCCACAGAUAUAUUUUCCAUUUCAGCUUUUAAGAUGAGAAGCAGAACCGUAACCGUCCCCACUAAAGGGAAAAUAAGUACAGCAUAGCAAGCCAGUUAGAUAAGUUUUCCCUUACUGAGAGCUCUGCAGCACAUUUCCCAUCCCCACACCACCACUCUUCAAGCUCAUCACCAGCCUGAGUUCUUUCAUCCACCGCAAGGAAAACUAGGAGCAGAGAGAAGCAGCUGAAAAGGAGAUCCAUGCAGAGACUUGCAAGGACAGGGAACGGAAUGACUGAAGUUCAGCAUCUUAUUUAAGAACAGACUAUUUACUCCUAUAACGAAAACCAUGGAAACAAUUAACAGCAAAAACAUUACUGAUUCAAACAUCAGAGUAAGAACCUAGAAAUGGAAGAGGGGUGCUUGUAAUUACAGCGCCCAGUGAAAACUCACGCCAGUCAUCAACAAAGCAGAGCUGAUUCCCAGGCAGACCAAAGGAGGACACCUUUCACACUCUCCCCUCCCCAUUCAACAGACUGAAAGAGCAAGUUUAGUUGGCACAUGGUCUCUGCCUAAGGCUUGACAGUGAGAGAAAGGUACAGCCCAAAACAGCCCUGCUCUUCUUGUACAAGAGAUUCUGAAGUUUUCGAGUACCAUUCAGAGCAACUAUGCUUUAAGUGACAACACAGAGCUGGGCUGUGGAAUAGCGUCUACUGCUCAGUAGAACAGUUCUCUCCAAGUAGAGCAAUGUGAGCAUGCUAAGGCACAGUGCUUUGCACGAGAAGCAGUGCCUGCAGCUGGGGACAGAAGACAUCGAGUUUAAUUGCAACGUGUUUGGAGAUGGAAAGGUCAAACGCUUGGAAAACCCAGAACAACACUUCCCACCACGCUCACCCAAGGUUUGGAGACCCUGUGUGGGGACCAUCCACAGACAGGGGCAGCUCCCAUCCAGUUUCUGUUUGGAGAUGCUCAGUGCAAGUAGGAAGCGCACUGUCGAAGCUGAAACUGUCCUCAGCUCACCCCACACCUGUCUGUCUCAUCCACCAAGCAGCACUCCUCAUGGCAUUUAUCUUAUUCUUUGCUUUGUGCUGUAAUCAGCAAGUCCUGAGUAAGAUACAGAGCUCCCCUUCCAGGCAUGGCAUCAGGACAGAAUUAAAUGGACUCUGAACACACAAAAGUUUUCCUGUAGAUUAUUUAGAAUCUUUUGUUUUCUGAACAAACAUCACUGUACGAAAAGUAGAAAUAUGUUUACUGUUCCUUUGCAGUGACCACCAGAUGAGCUGAAGAUACAACAUGGUUUAAGGUAUGUUCAAGUAGUUUAAGUAUAAACACAGUUUAUACUCUGCAAAGGCUGUAGGCACUGUGUUCUCUGCGUUUCCCAUAGCAGAGGUCCAACAUACAGAUA